AUUGAACGCUGGCGGCAGGCCUAACACAUGCAAGUCGAGCGAGCGGCGGGCGGGUGAGUACUGUAUGGGGACUGCCCGUUAGAGGGGGAUAACUACUGGAAACGGUAGCUAAUACCGCAUACUAUCGGAUAACCCAUAUUGGAUUAGCUAGUCGGUGGGGUAAUGGCUCACCUAGGCGACGAUCCCUAGAUGGGCUGAGAGGUUGAUCGGCCACACUGGGACUGAGACACGGCCCAGACUCCUACGGAGGCAGCAGUGGGGAAUAUUGCACAAUGGGCGAAAGCCUGAUGCAGCCACGCCGCGUGUAUGAAGAAGGCCUUAGGGUUGUAAAGUACUUUCAGUGGGGAGGCGUUACCGACAGAAGAAGCACCGGCUAACUCCGUGCCAGCAGCCGCGGUAAUAC
rnacentral:rRNA from 1 species